AGCGGGUUCUAGCAAUAGAAUGCCGGCGACCGGCGCACGGGUGCGUAACGCGUAUACAAUUUGCCUUAUACUGGGAGAUAGCCCGGAGAAAUUCGGAUUAAUAUCCCAUAAUAAUUUUGGUCCGCAUGGAUUGAUUUUUAAAGCUACGGCGGUAUAGGAUGAGUAUGCGUCUGAUUAGCUAGUUGGUGAGGUAAUGGCUCACCAAGGCAACGAUCAGUAGGGGGCCUGAGAGGGUUAUCCCCCACACUGGAACUGAGACACGGUCCAGACUCCUACGGGAGGCAGCAGUGAGGAAUAUUGGUCAAUGGAGGCAACUCUGAACCAGCCAUGCCGCGUGAAGGAUGAAGGCCCUAUGGGUUGUAAACUUCUUUUAUUGGGGAAGAAACCUUUCUACGUGUAGAGAGCUGACGGUACCCAAGGAAUAAGGACCGGCUAACUCCGUGCCAGCAGCCGCGGUAAUACGGAGGGUCCAAGCGUUAUCCGGAAUCAUUGGGUUUAAAGGGUGCGCAGGCGGUAAAGUAAGUCAGUGGUGAAAUCUCUCGGCUCAACCGAGAAACUGCCAUUGAUACUGCUAUACUUGAAUAUAGUCGAAGUGGGCGGAAUGUGACAUGUAGCGGUGAAAUGCUUACAUAUGUCACAGAACACCGAUAGCGAAGGCAGCUCACUAGACUAACAUUGACGCUCAUGCACGAAAGCGUGGGGAG
rnacentral:rRNA from 1 species